UACGGAGGCAGCAGUGAGGAAUAUUGGUCAAUGGGCGGAAGCCUGAACCAGCCAUGCCGCGUGAAGGAAUAAGGCCCUAUGGGUCGUAAACUUCUUUUGUGGUGGAGCAAUAAGGUGUACGCGUACACCGAUGAGAGUACAUCACGAAUAAGCAUCGGCUAACUCCGUGCCAGCAGCCGCGGUAAU
rnacentral:rRNA from 1 species